GAUGAACGCUGGCGGCGUGCCUAAUACAUGCAAGUCGAGCGAACAGACGAGGAGCUUGCUCCUCUGACGUUAGCGGCGGACGGGUGAGUAACACGUGGAUAACCUACCUAUAAGACUGGGAUAACUUCGGGAAACCGGAGCUAAUACCGGAUAAUAUAUUGAACCGCAUGGUUCAAUAGUGAAAGACGGUUUUGCUGUCACUUAUAGAUGGAUCCGCGCCGCAUUAGCUAGUUGGUAAGGUAACGGCUUACCAAGGCAACGAUGCGUAGCCGACCUGAGAGGGUGAUCGGCAACACUAGAACUAAGACACGGUCCAGACUCCUACGGGAGGCAGCAGUAGGGAAUCUUCCGCAAUGGGCGAAAGCUUGACGGAGCAACGCCGCGUGAGUGAUGAAGGUCUUCGGAUCGUAAAACUCUGUUAUUAGGGAAGAACAAAUGUGUAAGUAACUAUGCACGUCUUGACGGUACCUAAUCAGAAAGCCACGGCUAACUACGUG
rnacentral:rRNA from 1 species